rnacentral:rRNA from 1 species
CCUACGGGGGGCUGCAGUGGGGAAUAUUGGACAAUGGGGGCAACCCUGAUCCAGCCAUGCCGCGUGUGUGAAGAAGGCCCUCGGGUUGUAAAGCACUUUCAGUGAGGAAGAACGCCUGGUGGUGAAUACCCAUCAGGAAAGACAUCACUCACAGAAGAAGCACCGGCUAACUCCGUGCCAGCAGCCGCGGUAAUACGGAGGGUGCGAGCGUUAAUCGGAAUUACUGGGCGUAAAGCGCGCGUAGGUGGCUUGAUAAGCCGGUUGUGAAAGCCCCGGGCUCAACCUGGGAACGGCAUCCGGAACUGUCAAGCUAGAGUGCAGGAGAGGAAGGUAGAAUUCCCGGUGUAGCGGUGAAAUGCGUAGAGAUCGGGAGGAAUACCAGUGGCGAAGGCGGCCUUCUGGACUGACACUGACACUGAGGUGCGAAAGCGUGGGUAGCAAACAGGAUUAGAUACCCGAGUAGUC